rnacentral:ribozyme from 13 species
CAGAAAAAAAAAAAAAAAAAAAAAAAAAAAAAAAAAAAAAAAAAAA